AUACGUAGGGGGCGAGCGUUGUCCGGAAUGAUUGGGCGUAAAGGGCGCGUAGGCGGCGCGGUAAGUCUGGAGUGAAAGUCCUGCUUUCAAGGUGGGAAUUGCUUUGGAUACUGCCGCGCUUGAGUGCAGGAGAGGUUAUCGGAAUACCCGGUGUAGCGGUGAAAUGCGUAGAGAUCGGGAGGAACACCAGUGGCGAAGGCGGGUAACUGGACUGCAACUGACGCUGAGGCGCGAAAGUGUGGGGAGCAAACAGGAUUAGAUACCCUGGUAGUCCACACUGUAAACGAUGAAUGCUAGGUGUAAGAGGUAUCGACCCCUUUUGUGCCGGAGUCAACACAAUAAGCAUUCCGCCUUGGGAGUACGGCCGCAAGGUUGAAACUCAAAUGAAUUGACGGGG
rnacentral:rRNA from 1 species